GAGGGCAUAGCUCAAGUGGCAGAGUGCAUGCUUAGCAUGCACGAGGUCCUGGGUUCAAUCCCCAGUACCUCCU
rnacentral:tRNA from 1 species